CCGUAUAUAAUUGACCCAUUAGCUUUAUUUGAUUUAUUGAAACUUUUGUGCUUUAACUCUUCAGCUUCUUUUAUAACAAAACUUGAGUGUUGGGUAAAUUGUCUGUGCUGUAAUACUUAAACAUAAAUUGUUAACAAGUACAAAACUUAUUAGAAAUUAUAUCCAAGUCCUAUGUUUAGUUGAAUAAAAUUUACAGAUCACAGUCUGUCUCAACUUAGUUCUUUGAUCUAAUUAAAUCUUUUACUUAAAUCUAAUUUAAUAACCUUUGACCAAGCUUGUGGUGCAUGCAAUACUUCAGUGAAGACUCGAUCCCUAUCUGAUACGUUCAACUCUGGAACACCGUGGAGUCAGAUCACGUUGUGGAUGAAAAACCCACAACCGCCGACGCCGUGUAAUUAGCUCCUAGUGCGUCCAUGUGCAAGGAUUUUGUUAACCUAUCUACCAACAUAACCAAUACCGACUUACUCUUGACCACCGACAUUCCAAUGAUGAAAUCCAUCGUCACGUGCCGGUAUACCGCCGGCGGUAUCAGUAGACGUACUAGCAACCCUUGACUUCUAGUAGUAGGUACUAGCAGCUCUUGAGUUUGAUAGACUGCUUGUUGGCCCGAACUGAUUGAUUAUGUAUGGGAACCUCGACAAUAGAGUUAGGUUUUCCCUUAACAAUUAUAGCAAUAUUCCUCGCCAUGUAUGCCACUUUGUCCGAGAUAUCGUCUAGCUCCACCAGAUCGUCAUCUCUAACGAAGUCUCCGUCUAUCUCCACUUUUAGCGUGCCUACUUCAAAGUUUUCCUUGGAGUUCUUCAGGUAAGCGUCUACAUCUUUAAGCAUCGAUCGCUUCUUUAAUUUGUCUAUGCUCGUAACACCUUGUCUGAUUUCGAUAAAGGAGGAGGAAGCCGGUGAUUGCUAAAAAGAGAAAGUUGAAGAAACUAGUAAGUCUGGUGGCGUGUGAGUCGACGUAGUGUGUGGAGAACGGAGCGGAUGAUGAAAGGUCGCGAAGGGAGAGAGACACGUUUGGGAAACCUUAAGGUUUUGCCUUUGUAUUUAGAUUUAAUAAAAGUUACUUUAAAAUAAUUACAAUGGUACUAUGUAUACUAAGAUUAAACUAUUGAGCCUUGAGUAUGAGUCGGUAUUGCUUUCAUCAAAGGUGGUCGGUCACCAUUGUGAUCCUCCCUCCAUUCACCCCUAAUUGUAAAGAUGUUUCCAUGGAGUGUCAUAAUGUUAUUUGGGCCUUGUGGGACUAUUAUUAAUUAUAUAACUUUAUUUUUUGUUAAUUCAGUUGUGGGACUAUUAUUAUUUGUGGCCUUGUGGCCGUAUAGAUAUGGGCGACCCGGACCUGUACCGUUG
rnacentral:lncRNA from 1 species